rnacentral:rRNA from 1 species
GACUCACUCCAACCCCUGUGACAUACCACUUGUUGCCUCGGCGGAUCAGCCCGCUCCCGGUAAAACGGGACGGCCCGCCAGAGGACCCCUAAACUCUGUUUCUAUAUGUAACUUCUGAGUAAAACCAUAAAUAAAUCAAAACUUUCAACAACGGAUCUCUUGGUUCUGGCAUCGAUGAAGAACGCAGCAAAAUGCGAUAAGUAAUGUGAAUUGCAGAAUUCAGUGAAUCAUCGAAUCUUUGAACGCACAUUGCGCCCGCCAGUAUUCUGGCGGGCAUGCCUGUUCGAGCGUCAUUUCAACCCUCAAGCACAGCUUGGUGUUGGGACUCGCGUUAAUUCGCGUUCCUCAAAUUGAUUGGCGGUCACGUCGAGCUUCCAUAGCGUAGUAGUAAAACCCUCGUUACUGGUAAUCGUCGCGGCCACGCCGUUAAACCCCAACUUCUGAAUGUUGACCUCGGAUCAGGUAGGAAUACCCGCUGAA